UACGUAGGGGGCAAGCGUUGUCCGGAAUCAUUGGGCGUAAAGAGCGUGUAGGCGGUCCGGUAAGUCCGCUGUAAAAGUCCAGGGCUCAACCCUGGAAAGCCGGUGGAUACUGCCGGGCUAGAGUCCGGAAGAGGCGAGUGGAAUUCCUGGUGUAGCGGUGAAAUGCGCAGAUAUCAGGAGGAACACCGAUGGCGAAGGCAGCUCGCUGGGACGGUACUGACGCUGAGACGCGAAAGCGUGGGGAGCGAACAGG
rnacentral:rRNA from 1 species